GGCGCGGUUACGGAGUCACUUGGCUUGGCAGAGUUGAAUUCGAGAGUCGACGAGUCGACGGAGUCGCGGUUGACGAGGCAGUAAGAGAACGAGGAGGCUUUGAUCUGAGAAGUGAGCGAGAGUGGGCCGCCGCCAAGUCCUAUCAAGCCAGCCGCACCGACAAACAAGCCCUCGUUGUCGUGACCGCAUCCGAUGGCCACCUUAUCCACAGAUCCAGAGUUCCCAAACGACACCGUUUCAGUGGCGAAGUCGCCGACGGUGUACGAUCC
rnacentral:lncRNA from 1 species